AUUGAACGCUGGCGGCAGGCCUAACACAUGCAAGUCGAACGAGCGGCGGACGGGUGAGUAAUGUCUGGGAAACUGCCUGAUGGAGGGGGAUAACUACUGGAAACGGUAGCUAAUACCGCAUACCAUCAGAUGUGCCCAGAUGGGAUUAGCGUGUUGGUGGGGUAAAGGCUCACCAAGGCGACGAUCCCUAGCUGGUCUGAGAGGAUGCCCAGCCACACUGGGACUGAGACACGCUCCAGACUCCGACGGGAGGCAGCAGUGGGGAAUAUUGCACAAGGGGCGCAAGCCUGAUGCAGCCAUGCCGCGUGUGUGAAGAAGGCCUUCGGGUUGUAAAGUACUUUCAGCGGGGAGGCGUUACCCGCUGAAUAAGCACCGGCGAACUCCAUGCCAGCCGCCGCGGUAAUUC
rnacentral:rRNA from 1 species